rnacentral:rRNA from 1 species
GAUGGGCACGCGCAAGAUUAGAUAGUUGGUGAGGUAACGGCUCACCAAGUCAGCGAUCUUUAGGGGGCCUGAGAGGGUGAUCCCCCACACUGGUACUGAGACACGGACCAGACUCCUACGGGAGGCAGCAGUGAGGAAUAUUGGACAAUGGGUGAGAGCCUGAUCCAGCCAUCCCGCGUGAAGGACGACGGCCCUAUGGGUUGUAAACUUCUUUUGUAUAGGGAUAAACCUACCCUCGUGAGGGUAGCUGAAGGUACUAUACGAAUAAGCACCGGCUAACUCCGUGCCAGCAGCCGCGGUAAUACGGAGGGUGCAAGCGUUAUCCGGAUUUAUUGGGUUUAAAGGGUCCGUAGGCUGAUUUGUAAGUCAGUGGUGAAAUCUCACAGCUUAACUGUGAAACUGCCAUUGAUACUGCAAGUCUUGAGUGUUGUUGAAGUAGCUGGAAUAAGUAGUGUAGCGGUGAAAUGCAUAGAUAUUACUUAGAACACCAAUUGCGAAGGCAGGUUACUAAGCAACAACUGACGCUGAUGGACGAAAGCGUGGGGAGCGAACAGGAUUAGAUACCCUGGUAGUCCACGCCGUAAACGAUGCUAACUCGUUUUUGGGCUUUCGGGUUCAGAGACUAAGCGAAAGUGAUAAGUUAGCCACCUGGGGAGUACGAACGCAAGUUUGAAACUCAAAGGAAUUGACGGGGGCCCGCACAAGCGGUGGGAUUAUGUGGUUUAAUUCGAUGAUACGCGAGGAACCUUACCAAGGCUUAAAUGGGAAAUGACAGGCUUAGAAAUAGGCUUUUCUUCGGACAUUUUUCAAGGUGCUGCAUGGUUGUCGUCAGCUCGUGCCGUGAGGUGUUAGGUUAAGUCCUGCAACGAGCGCAACCCCUGUCACUAGUUGCCAUCAUUAAGUUGGGGACUCUAGUGAGACUGCCUACGCAAGUAGAGAGGAAGGUGGGGAUGACGUCAAAUCAUCACGGCCCUUACGCCUUGGGCCACACACGUAAUACAAUGGCCGGUACAGAGGGCAGCUACACUGCGAAGUGAUGCAAAUCUCGAAAGCCGGUCUCAGUUCGGAUUGGAGUCUGCAACUCGACUCUAUGAAGCUGGAAUCGCUAGUAAUCGCGCAUCAGCCAUGGCGCGGUGAAUACGUUCCCGGGCCUUGUACACACCGCCCGUCAAGCC